rnacentral:lncRNA from 1 species
UUUUAGUGAAAUUAGUGCAAUUUUAUGUGUUCUUUAUUUCUGUUUUUACACUUUUUCAUUUAACGUUCUAUAGACUAAAUAACAGGGUUGAAACUGAUAUUGUACGUAACCCUUUAACAUUGUAAUUUGAAAGUAUAACGUUAAAACAUAUUUCAGAAAUGUUUAAUGAUAUCUUUGGAGAAGUGCUCUGGAAAGGUCUAAUCGAGGAUAAACCCCCAGAUCCAGGGGAAAUACAGGCAACAAGAAACGGAGGCAGGCGAAGAACUUGUUUUGUGCCUGGAUGCCGUCCACCCCCUGGGACAUCCAGAUUUAAAUUUCCAAAGAAUAAAAAGAAGCAGGAAUUGUGGCUGAAUUCUUUGAAAAUUGACGACACUAAUGAAAUCAGAGAUAGCCGAGUGUGUGCUCUUCAUUUUUCUAAGUCUGAUUUUCAGCCAAAUUUGAGCACUUUUUCGAAACUUCCAGAAAUCUCCCCUGCAAGGAAAUUUCUCUUAUCCUCUGCAAUCCCAUCAAUAACUGUAAAAGAACCAAGAUCUCCAUUAUCAACCUUUUUGUAAAAUACCAAAGAAUAAGGCAUCUAGAUGUUUUAGUAAACAAACAAGUUCAUCACAUGAUACGAAAUUUAAAACAAUUUUAAUAAAUAGUUAAAAAUAUUUUUGUAUUUUUAUUAUUGUUUAACCCACCAAAACUUCAUCACUUUUAAAACAAGGUAAUCCAAAUGAUUUUUUGUUAAAUUCGUAUAAAGUAUGAGUGUUUCAAAAAGUUAGAAGUCUAAAUUUUUAAAAAAAUUAGCUGGCUUUAGAAAUUGAACAGUAAACCUUUAAUAACCCUAGAAAUAUUUAUUUUAAUGCUAAUUAGAGGGCUGGGGCCUGGACGCCUCCCCCCCCCUCCCUCAGACUAUUUAGUUUACAUAGAUAUACAGUGAAAAAAAAAAUUAAGCCUCCAAAUGACAGUAAAAAUACUCCAUCUAAUUUUGGGUUUUAAAUAUUUUUUUACGUAUUCCUACAAAGACGACAUUUAUCUCCACCGAAUCUUGGAAAUUAUACCAACUAAUUAGAGGACAUGUCGUAUUUCUUUUUUCAUUUGAUACAUAUGACGUUGUGUGCAGUUGGUCGAUUUUUCUGUUGCCAUCUAUUGUACUUGACAACCAAUUUGGAAAGAAGCAUCUAGAACCACCUGUAUUUUCUAGUUUUGUAUAUUGUAACUGGUUUUGGGUUUCUGUACUGCGUAAGCGUACAGAAGUUCAACCAGUAUUAUCAAAGAUUUUGUAGGUGAUGCGUCAUAUAUGUCUCAACGUUUUUAAUUACCUGUGUAGUGUCUCAAUGGAGCAAUGUGGUGAGGUCUCCUUAUAUAUAUUCAUUAUGAUGUUUAUUAUUAAUAUUUACUUCAAAAAAUUAUAUUCGUCUGCUGCAGUUUUUUAAUGCCUAAGUAAAAUAAUUUGUUUGUCUCGAACUAAAAAUAUGAUAAAUGUUCAUUACUUAAAGUUUUUUCUGUAGCCUGUCUAUUUUUCGAUCUAUAAUAAUGAUUGUUUUAUAGAUUGAAGUUGUGCUAAUAAAACUUGAAGAUUGACCCUGAUUAGUUCAUUAUGGAGAGAUCUAGUAGAGCAGCUUGCUGUCAAAUCCGACGAAACACCACUCGGUAUAUAUAUUAGGGCAACCGGAGAGGUUGUGAAACAGCUUUAAUGUAACCUAUACUUAUUAUAUUUACACAAAUUUAUUUAUAUGAAUGUAUCUUGUAAAUGUAAAGGUAAUUUUUCCAAUAAGAUUCCCCUCUCCCCCCCCCCCCCCCCCCCCUACUAAUCGUUUGUUACCCUAAUCUGUUAUUAAAAUAAAUGAACGUUUAGGAAAAUUAUUAAGAGAGGAUAGCAAAACCCCACCACAUAAGAUAAUGCUUAAAUACGAAAAAAUUGAAUGCGUUGUAAAUAAAGUGUUUACCUCUAAACCUAAAAAUUAAUCUAUAUUUCUUGAAAGGCUUGAACAUGACUGGAUCAACACUUAUAUAGUUGUUGCUAUUCUGGAGUAUAAUGCACUGGACCAGGAAUUAAGCUCCGAAGCUUAUACAAUCAUGAAGAAUGUUACCGAGUUCCGACGAAAGGUAUGGACACAAAGAGGUCGUGUGAGAACUCCAGAAAAUCCAGUUUGAGUGCCAGUGCCAGGGGACUGACUCCGCAGUUUCUGGACAAAGCUUUACCUGGGGAUGCAGUUCCUCAGUUGAUAAUUAUUUGCUUUGCAAAUUCACUGGUUCCCGGCAUAUGGUUGUCACUUUCUUUCCAUUUCCUAUAAAUUCUUGACGAAAUAUUCGACACUUCUUUUAAGAAAGAUACUGACUAGGUCCGCCUAUUCAAUCGUGGCAGAAAACAGGGAAGAGUUGCAAGCUGGCUUCUCUUGUUAAUCAAGUAACGAUGUGUGGCAGCCUAACACAAGGUCCUGGCCCCGGACUCCUUCAACAAUAUGAACCUGUUCAGGGAUGAGGGGUGUUGCCGGAUCAGAUCGCCCCUAUAGCGGUGUAACGACCACCGCCAUCAUCACUUUAUCUAAGCAGUAAA